AGAGUUUGAUCCUGGCUCAGGAUGAACGCUGGCGGCGUGCCUAAUACAUGCAAGUCGAGCGAGGUGCUUUUGUAGCAAUACGGAAGUAUCCUAGUGGCGAACGGGUGAGUAACGCGUUGGUGACCUACCCCAAAGUGUGGGAUAACAGUCCGAAAGGAUUGCUAAUACCGCAUGUGGUUUUCGGAAUUAGAAACCGAUUUCUAAAGGAGCAAUUCGCUUUGGGAGGGACCUGCGUCCCAUCAGCUAGUUGGUGAGGUAAUGGCUCACCAAGGCUACGACGGGUAGGGGACCUGAGAGGGUGACCCCCCACAAUGGAACUGAAACACGGUCCAUACACCUACGGGUGGCAGCAGUAGGGAAUAUUGCACAAUGGGCGAAAGCCUGAUGCAGCAACGCCGCGUGUGCGAUGAAGGCCUUCGGGUCGUAAAGCACUUUUCUGAGGGAUGAGCAAGGACAGACCUCAGGAAU
rnacentral:rRNA from 1 species